rnacentral:rRNA from 1 species
AGCGGCGGACGGGUGAGUAACGCGUGGGUAACCUGCCUCAUACAGGGGGAUAACAGUUGGAAACGGCUGCUAAUACCGCAUAAGCGCACAGUACCGCAUGGUACGGUGUGAAAAACUACCGGUGGUAUGAGAUGGACCCGCGUCUGAUUAGGUAGUUGGUGGGGUAACGGCCUACCAAGCCGACGAUCAGUAGCCGACCUGAGAGGGUGACCGGCCACAUUGGGACUGAGACACGGCCCAA